GACAAUCUCUUAAAGCAUGUGAAGUGUUCUCCUCCACCCUCCUACAUCUGCAACAGAUAGAAGAGCCUCCCAAUAUCCUGUUAUACUUAGCAGAAGUUAACAAACUAUCAGAAACAGCAAGCCAUAAAAAAAAUUGUAUUCUUCUCGGUCCUUUCCAUUUCCAUAUCCUUUGCCAUUUUCUUGCUCCACUUAAAUUGUUAAAACCACACAAUCGCUUGUACACAUCAGCAACUUUAAAAUUCUUCUUCCCUCUACAUCCCCAAACCACUAUAUCUUCACCAUCCUCCUCUAUGGAUGGUAAUCGAGCCAUUAUUCUAUACACAACCUCUUCUGGCAAUAGUCUCCUUAACUCCUCAAUUUUCCACUCCAUUAAUAUUCACGUAGUGCCCUACUUUUUUGCUGCAUUCACCAGAAUCCAACUCAACAGUGCAGAAAUCUCUCAAAAAAACAUCCCCCAGCCACUUAUGUUUCCAAAAGCUAACCAUCUUCCCAUUAUUUACUUCCCAAGCAAUGUUCUGUAACAAAUCUGGCCACAAUUCUCCAAGCUUUUUCUAGAGCACAGAAUCAAUGGCCUUCACCUCUAUUUGCUGCAUUAAAUCCUUAUUUCUCCCAUAUUUCCCAACUAGAACUUGGGAACAAAGUUUUUGUGGCUUCACCAUUACCUUCAAACCCACCUUACUUAUUAAAGCAUUAUUCAUGCUUUUCAUGUCUUUUAAUCCAAAUCCACCAAGAUCCGUUGGCUUAGACAAGUUCUUCCAACUCAUUAAAGGUACUUGUUGAGUUACAGCUUGAACCAAUGUAAGUCUACCAGCCAAUGAGAGACUCUGUGCCUUCCAUCUACGAGGCUUUUUCUGUAUCUUAUCAAUUAAAAAUGAAAUUAUUUGGUAUUGCUUGCUGGUUUUUGUGGUAUUGGAGAAACAAAAUAUUGUUUGAGGAAGGUUUUGAGGAACAAGAAGUAUCUGUUUUGGCUAUAUACCGCUAUGCUGAGAAUGUAAAAUGGGCAUAUAAAGGAGAGGUUGGUAUUUUGAAGAAAUGGGAAAGUAUAAAGUGGAAACCACCUAAUGUAGGGUGGAUAAAGUUGAAUCUAGAUGGGGCUGUGAAAGGGCAACUUGGAGAGGCUGGAUGUGGUGGUUUAAUUCGAGAUAAUAAUGGUGGAUGGCCAGGAGGCUUUGCGAAUAGGAUUGGAUGUUGUAUGGUGAUUGAUGUUGAAUUAUGGGGAAUUUGAUCAGGAUUUUGUAUCUUGAAGAGAUUGGGUUUUAAGAAAGUGAUUGUUGAGUCUGAUUCUAUUGCUAUGGUGACUAUGAUGCAAAAUAUGAUGACCGAUUUUGAUGUAAAUAACAAAUUUAUUCGUGCUGUACAAAUACUUAAAGAUGAUAGUUAGGAUAUACAGUUGUUACACAUUUAUAGACAAGGUAAUUUUUGUGCUGACUAGUUAGCAAAUUAGAGUUCAACUCAGGAACAUAGCUUACAAUUACUUAGUUGUCCUCCUAGAGGGUUAAUAAAGUUUCUGUAUAGAGAUAAUAUGGGUAUUACAUACGCAAGACUGAUUUUUGUACAAUUUUUUGGGCUGGAUGCCCCAUUGUUUAAUCACAAAAAAAGUUGAGAGUAAA